rnacentral:misc_RNA from 1 species
GCAAUCUCUUGGAGAAGAAGGCAUGUCUCUGGAGUUUCGCCACAUCGCCAGCUAUCUGGUUUGGUAUUCUUCUCACCAUCUCUGUGAAGAAUUACUUCAUGAGGUGAUCCUUUGCAUUGGCAACUUUACGGUGCUAAACUCUGAUAAUCAGAACAUUGUCCAAUCUGGCCAGUCUCCGACCAUUCUUCAGCAGCUGUGCUCCUUACCAUUCCAGUAUUUCAGCGACCCCCGACUUACCAAUAUCUUGUUCCCAACCCUGAUCGCUGUGUGCUAUAACAACCCAUCCAACAAGGAGAUUUUGGAGCAGGAGUUGAGCUGUGUUCUUCUCGCCAACUUCAUCGAGGAGAAACAAUUGGAAUGUCAGCAAGCUAGGUUAAUGCCUUCGAAAGUGUCAAAAACACAAGAUAAGGACAAGGCCCGAACUUCAGACCUGGAGGUCCGUAUGUCCUUUGCAUCACGCUUCCCAGUCGAUGUCUGGCCAGCAGCAAUGGCUUGCUUCAAACAGGAAUAAUUGCACCAUUCUACAAGAGGCUUUAUUUUAUUUUAUCCUUUGGUGGUCACAUUUAUUUUCAUUUCCUGUCCCACGUUCAGUUAUGAGUUCUGAAUACAGGGGAGUGAUAAGAUAGCUACUCCUGUGCUCCACUCUCUCUGCACACACACAUACACAUACACAUGUAUAUUUAUUCUCCACACACUUACACACAAACACUUUAACGAAAGGUGUCAGUUUGGUGUCUCUAAAUAAAAGUAAAAAACUGCUGACCUGUUAAUUCUUUAACCACCUGUAAGUAUUCCUUUCUGAUUCUGUGGCAACACCAUUCUUCAGGCUCUCUGGCAGUGUGGUGAGCGAAUAGGGGUGAGAUCUGACCCAGGACUCUUUCCCAGUUUCAGAGGUUGAGUAGGGAGUGGUGCUACUUUUUUCUCACCUUCUUUUACUCUGCAGAACCCUAGGUGCAGUAUAGAUGACUGCAUGAAUCUUUGUGACAGGAUUAACUUAUAAUAACACACACACACACACACAUCAGCUAUUUAUGUUUUUAUUUCCUAAUUUGGUUGUGGUGGUGUGGAUGGAACUUAUUGUUCUAUGCAUGUGUGUUUAAGUGUGUAUAACAAUGAAAUUCACCAAAUUUAAGUUUGGCAUUUGUGCUCUUUGGCAAAUUUUGUGCAAACAUUGUCCCAAGUCACUCCCACUUUGCCCACACACCUGCCAUUCACACAUACAAACGUUUGUGUGCAUACAUAUAUUGUGUGUGUGCAUAUGUAUAUUAUGUGCACGUGUGUGUGUAUAUAUAUGGAUAUGUGUCUGAGUUUUCUCAGAUUAGAUGGUUUACACUCAAUAAUACAAAUUAAACUCAGAACCUUAACGAGAAGACAGCAUAAUGUUUGUUCCCGUAAGAGUUGCUGUCACCCAAUUGGUAGAGCAACAUUGGAUUAAACACUUUGCAAGUAUUUAGUUUUUUUUUUUAAUUUCUGGCUGCUCCCAUUGUUUGUGUCAUGUUUUUUGAGCAGCAUUAUUGAGCCUCUCUUUUUGAGCACUCAGUUACUCAUGAUCUUCAUUUGGUAGAUUGUUGAUCAGUUUCAUUGAUUAAUGUGUUUGUCUUCGGUUUAAUUUGGCUGAACUUUGCAACCAUAUGCCAGAAGAUCGUUUUGUGAGAUGUUUGAGUUCCAUCUGAGAUUGUGAAGUAAUACCUUUCCUUUGAUCUCAAAUCUCCAGAUGGAAUUUUUGAAGGGGUGAGUUUAAUUUGACAAGGAAUCUGUCAGAUGUCUUAAGAAAUAAGUUUCAACCAUGUCUUCUGAAAUCUUGAACGUUAGCUGAAGUUAAUCAGUAUAUUGUACCUCGUUGUAAUCAGUAUAUUGUACAGAUCCCUGACUCUGAAAGAAGACUUUUUUGUCUUUGAGAUUCUAUACAACUCAGAAGGAACUUUGAUCAGUUUGGUAGAAGUUGAGAUGUAAGUGAAGAAAGAUUUAGGAAACUCAUAUGAUUGAGUUCAAACCUGUUUUUUGUUUUGGAAUACUAACAUGAUAGGAUUUCACUGUUUUAGGGAUCAGGGAUCUAUUUGAAAGAACUAAAGAUUCUUGAGUAUGUGAUAGGGUUUAGGGCCUUGUAUAUGAUGAGGUUUUAAGGUAUGUUGUAGCAUUUCAUUUAGACUGGAUCUCUUUGAAAAAUAUUCACUAGAAGGAAGGAAUCAACGAAGGACCCUCCAUUCUGCUAUUGUUUCCCCUUAAUUGUAAGAUGUGUCUGUUUGAAAAGUCAUUCAGUUGGAGUUUAAGGUUAUUUAACAGGUACUUGCAGUGGAUUCUAGAUUUACUUUGAUAAAACCAUUAUUUCUGGGUAAUGAAAUAAACAAUCAAAUCCCUGCCUGCCAAAAAAAAAAAAAGAAAAGAAACGAUGAAAAGGAUGCUGUCUCGAUUGUGUUCCACCUUUUGUAAGUUCCCUUCUUUGGCGCCACCGUUUGUCUUUGACUGUUCACCACCACAAAUACCAACUUGCCUCUUUAUUGUGACCAACUAAAAUCUUUAAAAAAAACUGAACCAAAAACAAAAACUUUAAAAUCAAGUCUACAACUCCACGUUGUUUUUUGUUUUGUUUUUUUGUCUUAAACGUGGUGUGUAAAAUGAAUUAAAUGAUCCGAAACCAGACUGGAGCUUAUCCGAAAGUCAAUGCAAAAUUCUUGUAUCUUUACUGCUGCAUUGCCUUUUUUUUUUUUUUUUUUUUCCAAAUCUUGUUUGUUGUUUUUGUUUUUUUGUAUUUGAGUUUCCAGCCAACCAGCCAGCCUAAUUAGUUGAAUGGUGAUAUUCUAAUAAACGAAUUCCUUAUUGGAUUCCUUGCUUUGACAACUCACAGAAGGGUUUCUUUUCAAUAAAUAAAUAAAUUAAUAAAUAAAUAAAUGAUUAACUAAAGCCAAU